UUAGGACACACACUCGUACUGAUAGGAAGGGAGGGGUGCAAAAUAUUACGUUUGUCCUUUUUUAACAUUUCAAACAUAACUUAAAACAGGAACGUUAGUACUUAAGCCUUGGUCACACCACCCCCAAGUUUGAGACAAUGUCAAGCAAGCAAAUAGGGGUGGCCUCAGUUCCUCAACCAAUCGCUCAGCAUUGCUGGGGUGUCUGGCAUCUGGAGGAUUCCUGAGUUGAAGGGGUCUAUAUAAAGAUCCUGGUGACUUGUCAUGUUGGUUCAUUUCCCUGCAGCAGCAUCUAUGCUUUAUAACAUGCAGGAAGCAGUCAACCUACUUAACAGGGAUUGUUGACUCCAAGGAUUUUGAAAGGCUGCAUGCAAAAAAGGUGAUUUUGGUCUUUCCAAAUUUUGUACAACUAUACUGAGACCAUGAGCAGUGUGAACUCUGCUGCUUGUCUGCUGGCAAGGAAUCACUUUUACCAGAAUAUCAGUCCUACCAACAAAUUACAGCCUGUGUACACGUUCCCUGGUAGUCUGUCACAAGCAAGACAAGGGCAAGAGACUGUCUGGAAAACUGCCUCUUCACACCGAGGUUUUUCAGAACAGGAGCAAAGACGAUGGGUAUUAAGUUUGGUUUGGAAAACUCCAUUAUCCAGACCCAGCUCAUCCAAAAGGAUAAAAUCUGAUGAAAGUGUGAUCAAAUAAAACACCUGAACAAGA